UUUGCCAAUGAGGAAUUACUAGAUGACGAGUCUGAUGUCCAUGACGAAACGACUCUAUAAAUUCCAUUCAUGCCUUACUGAGG
rnacentral:ncRNA from 21 species